UACGUAGGGGGCAAGCGUUGUCCGGAUUUACUGGGCGUAAAGCGCGUGUAGGCGGAAGCGAAAGUCCGGUGUGAAAGCCCCCCGCUCAACGGGGGAAGGUCGCUGGAAACUGCGCUUCUUGAGGGCGGCAGAGGGAAGUGGAAUUGCUGGUGUAGCGGUGAAAUACGUAGAGAUCAGCAGGAACACCCGUGGCGAAGGCGGCUUCCUGGGCCGCGCCUGACGCUGAGACGCGAAAGCGUGGGGAGCGAACGGG
rnacentral:rRNA from 1 species